ensembl:scaRNA predicted gene, 22009
UGGAAAUGAUGAAAUGGAGAUACUUGGGUGUUGAAUGGUGCAUGACUGGAAAAAUUUUAUAUGUAUGUUGAGUAAUUCUAGCUUAGUAUUUUGUAGAUCGUUAAUAGUGUGUGUUUGUGUGUGUGUGUUCCUGUGUGUGUGGCGGCUAUGGAAGGGGGCACUGAGCGGUGAUGCUGAUAUUGGAGUGCAUCUGAGGCUGUUGUAGACAAACCAGGUUUUGAUUACAGCAUUGCUGAUGAUUAUAACCCAACAAUAGCUCACCUGCCUAGCCCAGCACCCUCAAAUCUCCAACAGGUUCAUAGAACAUGAUCCUGUGAUCUGAUCCAA